rnacentral:rRNA from 1 species
ACUAAGCGUACACGGUGGAUGCCCUGGCAGUCAGAGGCGAUGAAGGACGUGCUAAUCUGCGAUAAGCGUCGGUAAGGUGAUAUGAACCGUUAUAACCGGCGAUUUCCGAAUGGGGAAACCCAGUGUGAUUCGUCACACUAUCAUUAACUGAAUCCAUAGGUUAAUGAGGCGAACCGGGGGAACUGAAACAUCUAAGUACCCCGAGGAAAAGAAAUCAACCGAGAUUCCCCCAGUAGCGGCGAGCGAACGGGGAGCAGCCCAGAGCCUGAAUCAGUGUGUGUGUUAGUGGAAGCGUCUGGAAAGGCGCGCGAUACAGGGUGACAGCCCCGUACACAAAAAUGCACAUACUGUGAGCUCGAUGAGUAGGGCGGGACACGUGGUAUCCUGUCUGAAUAUGGGGGGACCAUCCUCCAAGGCUAAAUACUCCUGACUGACCGAUAGUGAACCAGUACCGUGAGGGAAAGGCGAAAAGAACCCCGGCGAGGGGAGUGAAAAAGAACCUGAAACCGUGUACGUACAAGCAGUGGGAGCACAGAGCAAUCUGUGUGACUGCGUACCUUUUGUAUAAUGGGUCAGCGACUUAUAUUCUGUAGCAAGGUUAACCGAAUAGGGGAGCCGAAGGGAAACCGAGUCUUAACUGGGCGUUAAGUUGCAGGGUAUAGACCCGAAACCCGGUGAUCUAGCCAUGGGCAGGUUGAAGGUUGGGUAACACUAACUGGAGGACCGAACCGACUAAUGUUGAAAAAUUAGCGGAUGACUUGUGGCUGGGGGUGAAAGGCCAAUCAAACCGGGAGAUAGCUGGUUCUCCCCGAAAGCUAUUUAGGUAGCGCCUCGUGAAUUCAUCUCCGGGGGUAGAGCACUGUUUCGGCAAGGGGGUCAUCCCGACUUACCAACCCGAUGCAAACUGCGAAUACCGGAGAAUGUUAUCACGGGAGACACACGGCGGGUGCUAACGUCCGUCGUGAAGAGGGAAACAACCCAGACCGCCAGCUAAGGUCCCAAAGUCAUGGUUAAGUGGGAAACGAUGUGGGAAGGCCCAGACAGCCAGGAUGUUGGCUUAGAAGCAGCCAUCAUUUAAAGAAAGCGUAAUAGCUCACUGGUCGAGUCGGCCUGCGCGGAAGAUGUAACGGGGCUAAACCAUGCACCGAAGCUGCGGCAGCGACGCUGAUGCGUUGUUGGGUAGGGGAGCGUUCUGUAAGCCUGUGAAGGUGUACUGUGAGGUAUGCUGGAGGUAUCAGAAGUGCGAAUGCUGACAUAAGUAACGAUAAAGCGGGUGAAAAGCCCGCUCGCCGGAAGACCAAGGGUUCCUGUCCAACGUUAAUCGGGGCAGGGUGAGUCGACCCCUAAGGCGAGGCCGAAAGGCGUAGUCGAUGGGAAACAGGUUAAUAUUCCUGUACUUGGUGUUACUGCGAAGGGGGGACGGAGAAGGCUAUGUUGGCCGGGCGACGGUUGUCCCGGUUUAAGCGUGUAGGCUGGUUUUCCAGGCAAAUCCGGAAAAUCAAGGCUGAGGCGUGAUGACGAGGCACUACGGUGCUGAAGCAACAAAUGCCCUGCUUCCAGGAAAAGCCUCUAAGCAUCAGGUAACAUCAAAUCGUACCCCAAACCGACACAGGUGGUCAGGUAGAGAAUACCAAGGCGCUUGAGAGAACUCGGGUGAAGGAACUAGGCAAAAUGGUGCCGUAACUUCGGGAGAAGGCACGCUGAUAUGUAGGUGAAGUCCCUCGCGGAUGGAGCUGAAAUCAGUCGAAGAUACCAGCUGGCUGCAACUGUUUAUUAAAAACACAGCACUGUGCAAACACGAAAGUGGACGUAUACGGUGUGACGCCUGCCCGGUGCCGGAAGGUUAAUUGAUGGGGUUAGCGCAAGCGAAGCUCUUGAUCGAAGCCCCGGUAAACGGCGGCCGUAACUAUAACGGUCCUAAGGUAGCGAAAUUCCUUGUCGGGUAAGUUCCGACCUGCACGAAUGGCGUAAUGAUGGCCAGGCUGUCUCCACCCGAGACUCAGUGAAAUUGAACUCGCUGUGAAGAUGCAGUGUACCCGCGGCAAGACGGAAAGACCCCGUGAACCUUUACUAUAGCUUGACACUGAACAUUGAGCCUUGAUGUGUAGGAUAGGUGGGAGGCUUUGAAGUGUGGACGCCAGUCUGCAUGGAGCCGACCUUGAAAUACCACCCUUUAAUGUUUGAUGUUCUAACGUUGACCCGUAAUCCGGGUUGCGGACAGUGUCUGGUGGGUAGUUUGACUGGGGCGGUCUCCUCCUAAAGAGUAACGGAGGAGCACGAAGGUUGGCUAAUCCUGGUCGGACAUCAGGAGGUUAGUGCAAUGGCAUAAGCCAGCUUGACUGCGAGCGUGACGGCGCGAGCAGGUGCGAAAGCAGGUCAUAGUGAUCCGGUGGUUCUGAAUGGAAGGGCCAUCGCUCAACGGAUAAAAGGUACUCCGGGGAUAACAGGCUGAUACCGCCCAAGAGUUCAUAUCGACGGCGGUGUUUGGCACCUCGAUGUCGGCUCAUCACAUCCUGGGGCUGAAGUAGGUCCCAAGGGUAUGGCUGUUCGCCAUUUAAAGUGGUACGCGAGCUGGGUUUAGAACGUCGUGAGACAGUUCGGUCCCUAUCUGCCGUGGGCGCUGGAGAACUGAGGGGGGCUGCUCCUAGUACGAGAGGACCGGAGUGGACGCAUCACUGGUGUUCGGGUUGUCAUGCCAAUGGCACUGCCCGGUAGCUAAAUGCGGAAGAGAUAAGUGCUGAAAGCAUCUAAGCACGAAACUUGCCCCGAGAUGAGUUCUCCCUGACUCCUUGAGAGUCCUGAAGGAACGUUGAAGACGACGACGUUGAUAGGCCGGGUGUGUAAGCGCAGCGAUGCGUUGAGCUAACCGGUACUAAUGAACCGUGAGGCUUAACC